AACGAACGCUGGCGGCGUGCCUAACACAUGCAAGUCGAGCGAGAAAGCCCGCAAGGGUGAGUACAGCGGCGCACGGGUGCGUAACACGUGGGUAAUCUGCCCUGAAGCCCGGAAUAACCUCCCGAAAGGGAAGCUAAUACCGGAUAAGACCACGGGAGCCUCGGCUCCUGCGGGAAAAGGUGGCCUCUGCAUGCAAGCUAUCCUUUCACGAUGACCCCGCGGCCCAUCAGCUCGUUGGCGGGGUAAUGGCCCACCAAGGCUACGACGGGUAGCUGGUCUGAGAGGACGAUCAGCCACACUGGAACUGAGACACGGUCCAGACUCCUACGGGAGGCAGCAGUGGGGAAUCUUGCGCAAUGGGCGAAAGCCUGACGCAGCAACGCCGCGUGUGUGAUGAAGGUCUUCGGAUCGUAAAGCACUGUCGGGAGGGACGAAUAAGGGCCAGGUGAACAAUCUGGUCUGAUGACGGUACCUCCAAAGGAAGCACCGGCUAACUCUGUGCCAGCCGCCGCGGUAACAC
rnacentral:rRNA from 1 species